rnacentral:lncRNA from 1 species
AAAAUUCGAGUAAACUGGAAUAUUACAGAUAAAGCCCAUGAGGUAUUAAAGUAAACAUCCACAACUCUCGAAAUCCUGCAAGGUAGGAUGAUUUUGAAUCAGUGAUUAGGUCUUAUCUGACCAAUUCUUGGAAGCUACUAGUUUUAGCAGUAUUUUGGAGAAUCUAAAGCCUUAGCUUGUGUAUGGUCCAGACAUCACCGAGCACCCAAGUAUAAAUUAGCCUUACAACUCUCUAACGGAAAUUUAAUGACUUCAACUUAAGUUGCAUCUUGACCUAGGAUUUGGGCUGACUUAGUGAUUAAAACUUUGUGUGCUUUUGAAAUUUUUAGCAC